UCUGCAUAGGCACAGCCAUAUAGUCACAUUCUUAUACUGAGGAUGAAGGUGUCCAAAGUUUUCUCCAGUGAUGCAGAGUGAGGUCUUCACAUCAACUCAGGGUCAGCAGGGAGGAUGGAAGCAGACCAAGGCUUUGUGGAUGACACGGCACUGAAACAGAGUGGGUCACCAGGGAAAAUUUGCAAAGGAGAUGACGACAUGCUACCCGGAGAAGCUGUGUCAAACUUGAAUGAGAUUACUGGAAGGUGAACAUGCUGUGAUGUGAGUUAGGUGAAAAAUAUUCCAAAUGAGAAAGAUGGCAGCAGAGGGGCAGUCUGACAGAAUGACAUCUGACAUAGAAGUGCACAUGAGGCAAAGAAAGGUAUGGAACUGAAUUCCUCUGCGUGGAGAUAAAUGGCACCACUGGCAUUCAUCAGUGCUUGCUGAACGUUUAUGGAGACCAAACAGUGGGUGUGAGUACAGUGAGGGGUAGGUGGUGCAUUUCAGCAGUGCUAACAGCUUCAGUGGGUCACCUCCACUGGUGCAGAUUGUUACAAGUGCAGCGUGCAGG
ensembl:lncRNA